rnacentral:lncRNA from 13 species
GCAUCUCAGGCCACUAACAAGGAGGUGGAGGUCUCAAGGCUAUUGUCAACUGAUUCUGCUGGAGGCAAGACUGUAAAUGGCUUUCUUCUGUGACAGCGUCAGUUCAAUUACAAAUCUCCCUGUGCUAUGAUAAAGGAUUUGGCUGGGCUAUGGCCCCGGUUUCUGGGAGGACAUCUCUAAGUCCUUGGAGUUUCCUGAGUGAUAGGGGGAAUCUGCGUUGUUCACGGCGGGCCUUUCCAACCAUGCCGGAGUUCAUGCUCAAGAAAUUACCAGGAUGUAAGCUGACCACACCGGAAAGGCUGACCAGGUGACUGAAGGCUUGGGGCUUUGACCCACGUGACGUCGGUCUUCCAGCAGAGAUAGGACACUCACUCCGCUCAACAAUCAAUGCAAAUGAAAAGAUCAACAGAGAUGAUAUGAGUCAGCAGUGGUGCAGAAAGAAACCAGCUUGGCAAAGUUCCUGCUUUUGUGACUAUCUCCUAAUGCAGAAACCAAGGCACCUCAGAAGAUCAAGGCUUCUAAAUUCUCCUGGGGGAACAGACGUCAGCCACUCCGCACAAAGGAAACUUCCUUUUCUGUGUCAGAGGAAGACAUAAUUGUGCCAUUUGCUUCUUGAAGAAGUUUACAAACAUUUGCAAGUUGUCAAAAAUAAUUAGUCUAAAAUUGUUUCAUAAACCAUGGAAUGAAACAGUCCGUGCCUUGUUGAGAUCAAAGGGCUUCUGUUACCUUCUUGUAAAUCCAAAUGAAAUUCUUUUGAAAGUAAACUCUUGGAAUUAGCAGUGGUUUUUGUGGCACAUCUAUGGCAGGGGGAGGGGAGCAGA